AAUGAACGCUGGCGGCGUGCCUAAUACAUGCAAGUCGAACGAAGUGGCGCACGGGUGAGUAAAAUAUAGUUCAUCUGCCCUACACAGAGACACAACAUUUGGAAACAACUGCUAAUACCUCAUAGUGUAGGAUGAGACUAUAGCGUAUCAGAUAGUUGGUAAGGUAAUGGCUUACCAAGGCUAUGACGCGUAAUUGGUCUGAGAGGAUGAUCAGGCACAUUGUGACUGAGACACGGUGCAAAAUCCUACGGGAGGGCGCAGUAAGGAAUAUUGCGCAGUGGGGGUAACCCUGACGCAGCAACGGCGCGUUGAGGAUGACACUUUUCGGAGCGUAAACUCCUUGUAUCAGGAAAGCGGGACCUGAUGAAUAAGCCCCGGCUAACUACGUGCCAGCAGCCGCGGUAAUAC
rnacentral:rRNA from 1 species